rnacentral:rRNA from 1 species
UACAGAGGGGGCAAGCGUUGUUCGGAAUUACUGGGCGUAAAGGGCGCGUAGGCGGCCUGCUAAGUCGAACGUGAAAUCCCCGGGCUCAACCCGGGAACUGCGUCCGAUACUGGCUGGGCUUGAAUCCGGGAGAGGGAUGUGGAAUUCCAGGUGUAGCGGUGAAAUGCGUAGAUAUCUGGAGGAACACCGGUGGCGAAGGCGGCAUCCUGGACCGGUAUUGACGCUGAGGCGCGAAAGCUAGGGGAGCAAACGGG